rnacentral:rRNA from 1 species
UACGAAGGGGGCUAGCGUUGCUCGGAAUCACUGGGCGUAAAGGGUGCGUAGGCGGGUCUUUAAGUCAGGGGUGAAAUCCUGGAGCUCAACUCCAGAACUGCCUUUGAUACUGAGGAUCUUGAGUACGGGAGAGGUGAGUGGAACUGCGAGUGUAGAGGUGAAAUUCGUAGAUAUUCGCAAGAACACCGGUGGCGAAGGCGGCUCACUGGCCCGUAACUGACGCUGAGGCACGAAAGCGUGGGGAGCAAACAGG